UACGUAGGGUGCGAGCGUUACUCGGAAUUACUGGGCGUAAAGCGUGCGCAGGCGGUUUUGUAAGUCUGAUGUGAAAUCCCCGGGCUCAACCUGGGAAUGGCAUUUGGGACUGCAAGGCUUGAGUGCGGCAGAGGAGACUGGAAUUCCUGGUGUAGCAGUGAAAUGCGUAGAUAUCAGGAGGAAUACCGAUGGCGAAGGCAGGUCUCUGGGCUGACACUGACGCUCAUGCACGAAAGCGUGGGGAGCAAACAGG
rnacentral:rRNA from 1 species